GCUUGACAUAUACAGGAAUAUGGCAGAGAUGUCAUAGCCGCAAGGUCUGUAUACAGGUGGUGCAUGGUUGUCGUCAGCUCGUGUCGUGAGAUGUUGGGUUAAGUCCCGCAACGAGCGCAACCCUCGUUCUGUGUUGCCAGCAUUUAGUUGGGGACUCACAGGAGACUGCCGGGGUUAACUCGGAGGAAGGUGGGGAUGACGUCAAAUCAUCAUGCCCCUUAUGUCUUGGGCUGCACGCAUGCUACAAUGGCUGGUACAAACGGCUGCAAUACCGCAAGGUGGAGCGAAUCCGAUAAAGCCAGUCUCAGUUCGGAUUGGGGUCUGCAACUCGACCCCAUGAAGUCGGAGUUGCUAGUAAUCGUAGAUCAGCAACGCUACGGUGAAUACGUUCCCGGGGCUUGUACACACCGCCCGUCACGUCACGAAAGUCGGUAACACCC
rnacentral:rRNA from 1 species